rnacentral:rRNA from 1 species
CACUGUCACUCCUACGGGAGGCAGCAGUGGGGGAAUAUUGCACAAUGGGCGCAAGCCUGAUGCAGCCAUGCCGCGUGUGUGAAGAAGGCCUUCGGGUUGUAAAGCACUUUCAGUUGUGAGGAAAGGUUAGUAGUUAAUACCUGCUAGCUGUGACGUUAGCAACAGAAGAAGCACCGGCUAACUCCGUGCCAGCAGCCGCGGUAAUACGGAGGGUGCGAGCGUUAAUCGGAAUUACUGGGCGUAAAGCGUACGCAGGCGGUUUGUUAAGCGAGAUGUGAAAGCCCCGGGCUCAACCUGGGAACUGCAUUUCGAACUGGCAAACUAGAGUGUGAUAGAGGGUGGUAGAAUUUCAGGUGUAGCGGUGAAAUGCGUAGAGAUCUGAAGGAAUACCGAUGGCGAAGGCAGCCACCUGGGUCAACACUGACGCUCAUGUACGAAAGCGUGGGGAGCAAACGGGAUUAGAUACCCUGGUAG